ensembl:lncRNA
GGAUUAUCUCAGGAUAGACCACAUGAGUCACCAGAAAUUCUACUAGAUACACUAUGUGGUGUACUGGGGCAGCUGUGGUAGCUCAUUGGAGAAAGUUAAAUUGACCCCCCGUCUUCUCCAUUCUGGAUGUUGGGCAUGAUACUGAUCUCCAAAUUUCCCCCAAUGCAUCCGCUUGAGUGUGACUGUGUGUGAGUGUCAUCAUACAAGACACUUGGAUAUUGAAAAAAAGCACUUGUAUAAACCUGUGUGCGACUGGGUGAAUGAGGCUUGUAGUUACCAAAAGCACUUUCUCGUGGUGUAGAUUGAACAAGGUGCUUGAAACAUUUCUCUGAUAUCUUGGUCCAUAUUGACAUGAUGGCAUUACACAGUUACUCGAGACUUGUUGGCUGCACAUCUGCAUGAAUGAGAAGUUGAAGAGUUGUAUCUAAUUAUGUGACAAUGAAUGUAAUAUAAUGUGUCAUGGUUCUAGGUCUGGUGACCCAGUGUUUAUGUUUUUGAUCAUUAAUAGUCUUUGAUUUAGUUACUGGUUAUAUUUUCUAGUUCUUAAGUUUUGUUACUGUGCCUCCCUUGUGUUCCAUGUGUUCCAUGUGUCACGCUGAGUCAGUUAUGUUUUCAUGUUUGCUCUUUCUUAAUUUUUGUGUAUUCAUUAUUUGUUGUAAAAAAUGGAUCAUGAUCAGGGUUUAGUCUUUUAUUAAUGGUUUGAGUUCAUGUUCCCUUCCAUUUACGAGUUUUUUUUUUUUUAUAUUUCAUGCCUUUAGUCUUUUUUUUGGUUUUGUUGAUAGGUCUGCUAGUUCCCUUUUGUGUUCCCUUCUUUUCCUCCAGUCUUUCCCCUGUGUUUGUCUUUUGUCGCUGUGUCAAAUUAAUAUGGUUACAUAUUACAUAUUUCAUUACAGUUUUUCCUCUUCAUCUUGUUUGUAGACUUUGACAGUAAUACACCUGCCUUGCCAAGAAUUUCUUGAUGUGUAGAUGUUAAGCUGUUUUUCUUGACCAUGGAAAUAAUUCUGUAAUGCAUUUUCAAGCUUUGUUCAGAGCUUGGAAAGAAAACAUGUUUAAAGAAGUCUUGUCUCUUUUCUUCCCAAGCUUCUUAGAUUAACAUGACCUUCAUAGACAAUUCUGUAAUGCACUUUAGUUGUCUUCUGUUGUCUUUCAGCUCUUUUGGUGUUGCUGAGUUGGUCAGUACAGCAUAAAUGGUCAGUACUGCCUUUGAAUCUCUUUGUACUGUGUACAAUGACAAUAAAGGAAUUCAGAACAAUUCAAUGUAAUUCAAAUCUUGCAAAUCCUGACAACUUGACAUCUUCUCUUCUACUCUUCUUAGCAUCUUCAUCACUGUCACAUCUUCUAGCUGUCUUUUGGUCACAAUGUUGAGGUGGUAUGUGUAAAA